GAAAGUAAAAAAGGGCGCAUGGCGGAUGCCUUGGCUCUCGGAGGCGAUGAAGGACGUGAUAAGCUGCGAUAAGCUUUGGGGAGGUGCAAAUGACCUUUGAUCCAGAGAUUUCCGAAUGGGACAACCCAAUAUCUUGAAGAGGUAUUAUCCAACGUUGUUGGAGGCUAACGCAGGGAACUGAAACAUCUUAGUACCUGCAGGAAAAGAAAAUAAACAAUGAUUCCCCCAGUAGUGGCGAGCGAACGGGGAACAGCCCAAACCAUCCAUGUUACGGCAUGGGUGGGGUUGUAGGACUACGCCGUUGCAUGAAGACAUCAGAGAAGAACUUUCUGGAAAGAAAGACCAUAGAGCAUGACAGUUGCGUAUUCGAAUGUUGUCUAAGCAUAGUAGUAUCCUGAGUAGCGCGGAGCACGAGGAAUUCUGCGUGAAUCUGCCGGGACCAUCCGGUAAGGCUAAAUACUCCCGAGAGACCGAUAGCGAACCAGUACCGUGAGGGAAAGGUGAAAAGCACUUCGAACAGAAGAGUGAAAUAGUUCCUGAAACCGUGCGCCUACAAGCGGUCGGAGCUCGUUAAUGAGUGACGGCGUGCCUUUUGCAUAAUGAACCUACGAGUUGCCUUUGCCGGCAAGGUUAAGUGUGACGACACACGUAUCCGAAGCGAAAGCGAGUCUGAACAGGGCGUAUAGUCGGCAGUGGCAGACGCGAAACCAAGUGAUCUACCCUUGGCCAGGUUGAAGGCUGGGUAACACCAGCUGGAGGACCGCACCAAUAAGCGUUGAAAAGCUUCUGGAUGAGCUGAGGGUAGGGGUGAAAGGCUAAUCAAACUUGGAGAUAGCUCGUACUCCCCGAAAUGCAUUUAGGUGCAGCCUUGCGGGUUACUGAUGUGAGGUAGAGCGACUGAUAAGAUGCGAGGGCUUCACCGCCUAUCAAGUCUUGACAAACUCCGAAUGCGCAUCAGUUCUACCGCAGGAGUGAGGGCAUGGGUGCUAAGGUCCGUGCCCGAGAGGAGAAGAAUCCGGACCACCUGCUAAGGUCCCGAAAUGACAGCUAAGUUAAACUAACGAAGUCUGACUGCUAAGACAGCUAGGAUGUUGGCUUGGAAGCAGCCAUUCAUUUAAAGAGUGCGUAACAGCUCACUAGUCGAGGAGUCGGGCGUGGAUAAUAAUCGGGUAUUAAGUUGUCUACCGAAGCAGUGGGAUCAUUAAUAUGAUCGGUAGGGGAGCAUUCCAGUCAGCGUCGAAGGCGUACCGUGAGGUAUUCUGGAGCGUCUGGAAAAGCAAAUGUAGGUAUAAGUAACGAUAAAGGGGGCGGGAAACCCCCUCGCCGAAAGACUAAGGUUUCCUGAUCAACGCUAAUCGGAUCAGGGUCAGUCGGGUCCUAAGGCUCAGCCGAACGGCGAUGCCGAUGGCAGAAACGGUUAAUAUUCCGUUACUACCUUCAGGAGUGACGUGGAGACGCAGUAGUGACAGUGCCGCCAUCUGACGGAAUAGAUGGUUGAAGGGUGUAGGAGUCGAUCAUGGCAGGCAAAUCCACCAUGAGAUCCGAACCUGACAGUAUGCCGCGUCCUUCGGGACAAGGCAAUAGUGCGCGUAAGCAUGCUGCCGAGAAAAUCCGCUAAACUUAAUCCUGCAGGUACCCGUACCGCAAACGGACACACGUAGUCGGGAUGAAUAUUCUAAGGCGCUUGAGUGAUUCACGGUUAAGGAACUAGGCAAACUGACCCUGUAACUUCGGGAUAAAGGGUCCCUACCCUUUUAUGGGAGGGCGCAGAGAAUCGGUCCAGGCAACUGUUUAACAAAAACACAGGGCUGUGCCAAAUCGAAAGAUCCAGUAUACAGCCUGACACCUGCCCGGUGCUGGAAGGUUAAGAGGAGAUGUCAUCGAUAAGAGAAGCGUUGAAUUGAAGCCCCAGUAAACGGCGGCCGUAACUAUAACGGUCCUAAGGUAGCGAAAUUCCUUGUCGGGUAAGUUCCGACCUGCACGAAUGGUGUAAUGAUCUGGACGCUGUCUCAACCGUGAGCUCAGUGAAAUUGUAGUAUCGGUGAAGAUGCCGAUUACCCGCGAUGGGACGAAAAGACCCCGUGAACCUUUACUAUAGCUUAUCAUUGAAUCUGGGCACGUGAUGUGUAGGAUAGGUCGGAGGCUUUGAAGCAGGUACGCCAGUAUUUGUGGAGCCGCUGUUGAAAUACGACCCUUUAUUUGUUUGGAUUCUAACCCGUGGAACGGGGACAUUGAUUGGUGGGUAGUUUGACUGGGGUGGUCGCCUCCAAAAGCGUAACGGAGGCUUCUAAAGGUGCCCUCCGGCCGAUUGGUAACCGGCCUUAGAGUGUAAUGGCAUAAGGGCGCUUGACUGGGAGACUAACAAGUCGAUCAGGUAGGAAACUAGAGCAUAGUGAUCCGGUGUUUCCGUAUGGAAGGGACAUCGCUCAAAGGAUAAAAGGUACUCCGGGGAUAACAGGCUGAUCCCUCCCAAGAGCUCAUAUCGACGGAGUGGUUUGGCACCUCGAUGUCGGCUCGUCACAUCCUGGGGCUGGAGAAGGUCCCAAGGGUUGGGCUGUUCGCCCAUUAAAGUGGCACGCGAGCUGGGUUCAGAACGUCGUGAGACAGUUCGGUCUCUAUCUAUCGUGGGCG
rnacentral:rRNA from 1 species